GUUUUAUCAAAAAAUAGACACUUGUGACUGUAAAUCUAGCUUAAGAUAACACUACUAAUCAUAAUUUUAAAGCCUUAUAUUUGCCUAGUUCUUUAUAGUUUGCAAGAUACUUUCAAACAUAGCACUUUAUUUGAUUCUAAGUAGCUUAUAAGGUAAAUGGAGCAGCAGAAUUGCUAUUCUUACUUUACAGUGAAAGCAGGUGAGGCUCAAGCAGCCCAAAUCCCUUGCCAGAGCAUGCAGUAAGUAAUAAUGAACCAAAUUUUAAUAGUUAAGCCUUCAUACUGUGAGUAUUGGGCUGUGGACUGCAAUCCAGAGAAUCCCGAAUGGGAGAUACUUGGUAAAAAGGCUAAUGGAGCAGUCAUGGAAUGGAAUAGGUUCUGAAAGCUGAGGAUCACAGUAAACCUGAGUAAGGAAAUGGAUUUGAAGUCCAGGUAGUCAGAGAUCAGGAUCAGAAUCUUAAGCAGGGAAACAAGUAACACAAAAUUAGAAACUAUGUACAAAGCCUCAGAAGAAGUAGGGACCAUAGCAACAGGAAAGGUAAGCCCAACUCUACCAAAAACUCCUCAGGAGGGAGAUAGAAAACUUCCAGGUACUUAUCGCAAACAACAAGGCUUAGAUAAAUACCUAAAAUUCAAUUACAGAAUGAAGUUUAAUGCUUCAAUUCUAAUUGUCCAGCAAGUACGACAAAAUCAGAACUAGAGUCAUUCACUGAUGCAUGUAUUAACAAAACUUACCCCAUCCUGCUAAAAGUACAACUGAUGAACUGAUUAAGAGUGAAUUUGGACUGGGGUUGUAGCUCAAUGGUAGAGUGCUUGCCUAGCAUGAGGGAGGCACUGGGUUUGAUAUUCAGUACCACAUAAAAAUAAAUAAAAUAUUGUAUCCAUCUAAACUAAAAACAAAUUUAAAGAGUGAAUCUACUGCAUAUUAAUGUUUCCAAAACCCUUUUAGUCUAAUUACUUGGAUUCUGUAUAUAUUUUUGUUAGAUUUCAAUUUUUUUAUUAUUAGUUGUUCAAAACAUUACAAAGCUCUUGACAUAUCAUAUUUCAUACAUUUGAUUCAAGCGGAUUAUGAACUCCCAUUUUUACCCCUAGAUUUCAAUUUUUGCUUGUUGAUAAAACCCUGUGUUUCAUAUCUUCUAACGUUUAAUUUUGUUUUUCCAAUGAUAUUGGGGCUGGAAUUAGGGACUGUCACAUGCUAGGCAAGUGCUCUACUACAGAGUUACUUCCCCAAUCCCUAGUCCUUUUUCUUUUUUCUUUUGAAAUAGGGUCUCACUGAGUUGCCCAGGCUGGCCUCAAACUUGUGAUUCUCCUGCCUCAGACUUCCAAGUAAUUAGGACUACAGGCCUGUGCCACCAGGCAACAUUUAAUAUUCUGAUUUUUAAAUCUCUUUCCUUCUUUAAAUUCCUUUCAUGUGAAGUACUAAUUUUAGUAUAUUGACAGUUCAUGGAGCACGAGAAAAAACAAAGAAAUUAAACUGUUGCCUGGUUUUCAGGAGAGUCAAAAUGGUUUUUUUCAUCCCUUAGGAAGAAAUGAGAGCAGGGAAUUCACAUUCUCUUUUGGUAGUUUUUUAGUUCCAGGAUACAUCCAGAGGGGAGCAGCCUGGACUCCCGACAGCAAGAGACAGAGAAUCUUUGAUUCUUGACAACAGAUUGUUGACUGAGGCUAGUGACAGGUGGGGUUGAGAAGAGGGCAGAGCCUUGAAGUGAAGGUGGAGCUUGAAGAGGGGACUGGGCCUGUGGUAGUGAAGGAAAGGCCCCAGUUGCCGGGUCAGAUUUGACUUUGAGCUGUGAACUACCUACCUGAGCUGGCUGGUGCCCGAGUGACAUAAAUUCUAUGGCCCUGCUACCUUCCCUUUUUAUAGGACAGCCCCCACGAGGCCCUCAGUCCCUGGCUCUGAAGACACGGGGAUAUUUGGGGAUGCCUCUGUGUUCUCUUUCCUCCCAUCCCAGCCUGGUUUUAGAAGGGCCUUUCAAACUUGAUAUGAAGAACAAGAGACAGAAAAGAUGAAAAGCCACCAGUAGGGACUCCAAAAUGGUAUUUAGAGAGACUGGAUUAAAG
rnacentral:lncRNA from 1 species